GCAUAUCAUAAGCGGAGGAAAAGAAACUAACAAGGAUUCCCCUAGUAACGGCGAGUGAAGCGGGAAGAGCUCAAAUUUGAAAGCUGGCACCUUCGGUGUCCGCGUUGUAAUCUCGAGAAGUGUUUUCCGUGCUGGACCAUGUACAAGUUCCUUGGAAUAGGACGUCAUAGAGGGUGAAAAUCCCGUACUUGACAUGGACGCCCAGUGCUUUGUGAUACACUCUCCACGAGUCGAGUUGUUUGGGAAUGCAGCUCAAAAUGGGUGGUAAAUUCCAUCUAAAGCUAAAUAUUGGGGAGAGACCGAUAGCGAACAAGUACCGUGAGGGAAAGAUGAAAAGCACUUUGGAAAGAGAGUUAAACAGUACGUGAAAUUGUCGAAAGGGAAGCGCUUGAAGUUAGACAUGCUUGCCGGGAUUCAGCCUUGCUUUUGCUUGGUGCAUUUCCCGGUGUGCAGGCCAGCAUCAGUUUUGUUUGCCGGAUAAGGGUGAGAGGAAUGUGGCCCCUCGGGGUGUUAUAGCCUCUCACUGGAUACGGCGGAUGGGACUGAGGACCGCAGUGUGCCUUUAUGGCGGGCCUUCGGGCACCUUCACACUUAGGAUGCUGGCGUAAUGGCUUUAAGCGACCCGUCUUGAAACACGGACCGAGGAGUCUAACAUGUCUGCGAGUCUUUGGGUGGCAAACCCAUGGGCGCAAUGAAAGUGAAUGCAGGUGGGAUCCGCAAGGAGCACCAUCGACCGAACCGGAUCUUCUGUGAUGGUUUUGAGUAAGAGCAUAUAUGUUGGGACCCGAAAGAUGGUGAACUAUGCCUGAAUAGGGCGAAGCCAGAGGAAACUCUGGUGGAGGCUCGUAGCGGUUCUGACGUGCAAAUCGAUCGUCAAAAUUUGGGUAUAGGGGCGAAAGACUAAUCGAACCAUCUAGUAGCUGUCUGCGA
rnacentral:rRNA from 1 species